rnacentral:rRNA from 1 species
UGAUGGAUUGAAUGGGGAGUUAGUGGGAACUCCAAGGUUAAGCAUUCUACGCUCAGGGUAAAACCAUGAUGGGUGACCUCCUGGGAAGUCUGAGCAAUCCAUCAA